CCGUCGCGUCGGCGAUAAAAUACAAAGUGAUUUGUAUAUUAACGAGGCGACAUGAAUAUUAUGUGACGUCAGUUCAAUAAGUUGAAUAAAAUAAAAUUUUAUUGACUACCUACUUCUAUUUUUUUAAUUUUUCAUUAGUUAAAAAUAGAAUACCUACGUAUUUUAAAAAAAAUAUAUAAGGAUUCUGUGCAACGGCGUCCUGCGACAAGCUCGAACCGAUAUUGACGGGCGAUUGGCAAAUGUCAAAGACAAGUGACCGGAAAGCACUGCACUAAUAGCCAAGUAAUACUAACUUGGAACGGCGUUGAAAUAUAUGGAACUCAUUAAAACAAAAAAUCGUUGUAAGAACACAUUAAAUAAUAAUAUUUUUCGUUAAACAUGUGUCGGUGAAAAACUAAUGUAGUCUAAAUACAUUUAAUACAACAGUGUUUUUGUGAAAGCCCUAAAACGGAACUCUGACAAUCAUGGCGCAUUACACGCCAAAUAUAAAAUCACCCCCUCUGACGGUGCGUCCUGAAUUUCGUAAUUUAUUAUGUCAACAAUAUUCAUAAGGUCGGCCUUGGUCACGAUAUCAUACCAGGUUAAAUUGCUAAGAUAGCUCGGUAUUAGUGUUAGGUAACAACUUGUGUAUUUAUUGUGUUCCACAAAACAAAGACAUUACAACUGGCAUUACUCAAACAGUACAAAAGAAAUUUACAUUUGAAUUUCCUACCGACAUUUGUUUUUUAUCAACUGUUACUAUACGUCAGUGUCAGGUGUAUUACCUAUCUACAUAUGUGCACCGCAGAAUCUCUCACAUAUAUUGGACUUUUUCGCGGGAACACGAGGAGUGAAGUUGUGUGUGUGAUUUGUUUUAUUUUGUCUAUUUAGUGUUUCUUCAGGUUUAAAUGUGUUCCAACGGUAGUUUAUUAACUGCUUAAAGUGCAAAAAUGAGGGAAAAUGAAACAAAGCCGCUGGACGUAAAUUGUCGGGAUCCUCCAAAAAGUCCACUGGAAAAAUCUCAGUAACUGACCACCAUUUUACUGAGAUUAUAUUUCAUUCCUUAUAAUCUCAUCUCAUUUCAUUUAAUUUCAUCCCAGUUGAUUAAUGUCUCAAAUUAAUCAUCUACAUUUCAUAUCACUCCACAAUAUCGUUUUUCAUACAAAUAAAAAUUUAAGUAGAUUAAAAUAA